CCUCGAACUCCAGGCAAUUCUCCUGACUCAGUUGGGAUUACAGCUGUGCGUCACCACGCAGGGCCAGAGUUUCGUUUUUCUCUCUUUCCCACUUGGAGAAACCAUUGCUGCUGGGAGGUCAGGGAAUGAAGGUUGCCUCCCUAGCAGCAUUCUAUCCUCACUCCUUUCUCAGCUAACACUCUCUGGGUCUGAACAGAAAAAUAAUUUGAGUGUAGCUAAUUAAAAAGGGGUGGGGAUCGUAGUGUAUCCCUGUAAUCCCAGAGCUCAGGAGGCUGAGGCAGGAUGAUCUCAAUGACUUCAAGGCCAGCCCGAGCUACCUAAUGAGUUGGAGGCCAGCCUGAACUACAUAGCUUGCAAGACCCUGUCUCAAAAAACAAGCAGAAAAAAGUAUGCAGGUUUGAGAUAAGAGAUUACGGCGUGCAAUGCUGGCUGGGGUAGUAGGCAUGACCUGUUAAUUACAAGAUCCCAGACACAUGCACAGAAGAGUUCCCAGAGCCCUGCAUGUGGACUUCUCGUGAGAAUUUGAGCAGAUUUUCAGUAGGCAGUCUAGAUCUGAUGUCACCCUGAGGAGACCUGGGAGCCCAGCAUUGCCUCUUAGGAUCCAUAUGUAGUUCUCGAGGUUUUCCUUGAAAUUUGGACAAUAUAAAGGAUAUGCAGCACUGCGCCUGCCUGGCAAGCAUAAGGUCCUGAGUUCAAGUCCUAGUACCCACACAGAUGCUGUGAAGAGUACUCUAUGUUCCCAGACACAGCAUGUUCUUUUAGUUUUGCUUUUACCUUCUUUUUCUCUUCACUCAGCCCAAACUCACUCCGCAGAGUUUCUCCCCAACUCUUCACUUCUUUUUUAACUCUUCGCUUUUACUUUCUGCAGUAAAUUUGGCCAUUGCUUUUUGCUCAUUUUGUUCAAGUCUUUGUUUGAGACAAGAAGAACCUGGAAUCUAACUCCAGACGGAGAGGCAAGCAACCCAGAACCCAGUAACAUUUAGUUGGCGAGCCACUUUUAGAAGCAAGCUACCGGAUAACAGGUUUGCUGACUCCCGUCACGGAAAAAGAACUUUCAGGACUUGCCUCAUAAAGCUUAUAAGCAAAGAAAAUCUUCCCUUUCCAGGAAGCAAAGUCUGGUAGACAUAGGGAUUGUCAAGAUCUCAAGAUGCCCCCCUUCCCACCCCCAUGGUCAGUUCUGUGCACACAUCUCUCACAGCAGAGAACAGGGAAGGGCCAGCAGGGGUAGGGGCUGCUUUUGUUCACCAAGCCCCAUUUCAUCCAGAAUGCCAAUGCAUAUGGAGCUCCAGAGUUCUGGAACUAGG
rnacentral:lncRNA from 1 species